rnacentral:rRNA from 1 species
GACGAACGCUGGCGGCGCGCUUAAUACAUGCAAGUCGAACGAGAAGCCAGAGCUUGCUCUGGUGGAAAGUGGCGAACGGGUGAGUAACACGUGAGAAACCUGCCCCAAAGAUUGGGAUAAGCCUUGGAAACGAGGUCUAAUACCAAAUACCUUCUUUUUAACACAUGUUAAAAAGAAGAAAUGCUCCGGCGCUUUGGGAUGGUCUCGCGAUCUAUCAGCUUGUUGGUGAGGUAACGGCUCACCAAGGCAUCGACGGAUAGCUGGUCUGAGAGGAUGUCCAGCCACAUUGGAACUGAGACACGGUCCAAACUCCUACGGGAGGCAGCAGUAGGGAAUCUUGCACAAUGAGGGAAACCUUGAUGCAGCGACGCCGCGUGCGGGACGAAGGCCCUAGGGUUGUAAACCGCUUUCAGUAGGGACGAAAGUGACGGUACCUACAGAAGAAGCCCCGGCCAACCUAUGUGCCAGCAGCCGCGGUAAU